GUUCACAUCGACGGGGAGGUUUGGCACCUCGAUGUCGGCUCAUCGCAUCCUGGGGCUGUAGUCGGUCCCAAGGGUUGGGCUGUUCGCCCAUUAAAGCGGUACGCGAGCUGGGUUCAGAACGUCGUGAGACAGUUCGGUCCCUAUCCGUCGUGGGCGUAGGAAAUUUGAGAGGAGCUGUCCUUAGUACGAGAGGACCGGGAUGGACAUACCUCUGGUGUACCAGUUGUCGUGCCAACGGCAUAGCUGGGUAGCUAUGUGUGGACGGGAUAAGUGCUGAAAGCAUCUAAGCAUGAAGCCCCCCUCAAGAUGAGAUUUCCCAACUUCGGUUAUAAGAUCCCUCAAAGAUGAUGAGGUUAAUAGGUUCGAGGUGGAAGCAUGGUGACAUGUGGAGCUGACGAAUACUAAUCGAUCGAAGACUUAAUCAA
rnacentral:rRNA from 1 species